CCCUGCUCUUUGACCGUUAGAGCCAACUGUUAGAGAGGUUUCUCUUUUUUUGUCUCUAUUCAUUCCCCUAUAACCAAAAGCCACGCGUCACCUUUUUUCUUUUCAAAUAUUACAUUUAUUCUAUUAAUAAAUGAGGUGUCACGUUAUAAUUGGUGGGGAGAGAUAUGUUUGUUUAUUUUUUCAGAUUUUCUUUAAUAAUAUUAUUAAUUAAAUCCUAACUUUUGAUUGGAUAAAUGGAAU
rnacentral:lncRNA from 1 species